rnacentral:misc_RNA from 1 species
GAUGAAGAACGCAGCGAAAUGCGAUAAGUAAUGUGAAUUGCAGAAUUCAGUGAAUCAUCGAAUCUUUGAACGCACAUUGCGCCCGGCAGUACUCUGCCGGGCAUGCCUGUUCGAGCGUCAUUUCAACCCUCAAGCCCUGCUUGGUGUUGGGGCCCCACGGCUGCCGUGGGUCCUGAAAGGAAGUGGCGGGCUCGCUACAACUCCGAGCGUAGUAAUUCAUUAUCUCGCUUAGGGCGUUGGGCGGCGCUCCAGCCGUUAAAGAACCAUCUUUAACUCAAGGUUGACCUCGGAUCAGGUAGGAAUACCCGCUGAACUUAAGCAUAUCAAUAAGCGGAGGA